UUGCUUUCCCUAUGAAACUAUCUUAACCCACUAGUUCUCUGGUUUUUACCCUUUAAAUUCCCUCCCCAGUCCUGCUGGUUGGGGGGAUGAGUGAGUGGCUGGGUGGAGCCAGAUUGCUGUCUAGGGCUAAACCACAACAUCCACUUACAGGUCGGUGUUUUGUGGCACUAUUGAAGAGUCUCUGCCUUUCAAGAAACUCCAGAAAAUUUAUUCUGAUCCCCAUUCUGUUAACAUUCAUGAAUGGCUUAUCUAUGGGUGACUCCUUUAUCCAAACUUAGAGUAACUUUUGGGUCUCAAAAGCACUUGCUUCUACUUCCAGCCUUGCACCUUAAACUCUGCUCCCCUUUCCAAAGUCAAUUAUACAGAGGAAAAGAUUAUGUCUAAGUUUUUUUUCUUUUGUUUCAGUUUUGCAGCCUGUCUUAUGCUAUGUAGAUGGUGGGUGUCCAGUGCAAUACUGCCCUAAACCAUAGCCUGGGUCUUCACAUGUGCUGGGAACUGCUGGCAAAGUGUACCAUAACAAAUGAGACCAUUCCAUGUUCCAUUAGAAGAUAACAGGACUGCCAGCUAUCACUGCUUUGUUGGUAAUAACAUCUUAGACAUGUUGUCUUUGUUUUCCAAGCUUCAGUAGAGUGCAAUGUGCUUGACUGCCAACAGCCAUACUGACAGACUUUGGCUGCGGCCUCUCAGCAUGGACCUCUGUCUCCAGUCAAACAGCUUGGAUUAUAAAUGUCCAGUGGAAAUUGUGAAACUCCAUUCCUGCGACAUCAAUUGAACACUGACAGUGGAGACAGAGGGGCUGGGAUCCUGCAGCUGAGCAUGCAAGAAGUGCAGCAUAGAGAAGUGUUCCAUUUCCCAUUAAGAAGGAGUCAAGAGAGGAAAUUUUUAAUACCAGAGUGUCAACUAUAAAGAGACUUUGAUUUGUGAUUAAAGAAACUGAUUGCUAUUGCAUCUGUUCCUGAGAGAAUGGGAAACAAAAAGGGAUAUAUUCUCUCUAAUUAGGAUUACAGCUAAACCUGGCUAUUUCCUACUUGUAGAGGUGAAAAACUUGACUAUUUGGGCCAGAAAGAAUGAUGGUAUUUGAGUAUGUCUUUCUCUUAUUUCAGACAUGGUCUCUACUUUUAACUCUAUGUUCAUUUGUUCGUUUAAUUUUUAUUUUUUUUUAAUUUUCCCUUUUGAGAGUGAGACAACAGUAAUGUAUAACCAUGGAAGAACUUGCAUUGUACAAGGGUUCCCACUCCAUGUUGGCAGACAAGCAGAUGUGGUUCUGGCACCUCAUUUGUGCUCAUUUGGGUUUGUUUACUGACAGUAAACAAACAAAAAUAAACAAAAAACUGUGAGAUAAAAUUUUUUUCUUUGUACUUUUGCCAAGAUAUUCUUGUGUACUCUCUCUGUGCCAGGAUUUUCAGUAACGAUGGCAUUAAACUAUACGCUCUUCUCCCUUUGGUUAUAACAUCUAGCUCAUUUAUUUUUAUUUAAAUUGGCAAUUUUAGAAAUGCUCUUAUCAGUUAAACCAGCUUCUCAUUUUUAGAAUAACAUGGUUGUGUGAUUAAAUCAAAAGUUCAUACUGCAAAAAAGAUCUUGUAAUGCAGAGCUAGAGAAAAUGAGGUAUUAAUUUCAUAAUGUAUUAAAGAUUUUUUGUGUUUCUC